GAUGGACAACAGGUUGAUAUUCCUGUACUACCGAUAACCGUUUGAGAGAAGGGAUGACACAGUAGGAUAAGCUAAGCACACUGUUGGUUAUGUGUGCCCAAGCAUUGAGGCAGUCAAAGUAGGCAAAUCCGCUUUGAUAAUGCUGGGAUGUGAUGGGGAGCGAAAUUUAGUAGCGAAGUAGCUGAUUUCACACUGUCAAGAAAAGUCUCUAUCGAGGUUAAAGGUACCCGUACCGCAAACCGACACAGGUGGGUGAGGAGAGUAUCCUAAGGCCAGCGAGAGAACUGUUGUUAAGGAACUCGGCAAAAUGACCCCGUAACUUAGGGAUAAGGGGUGCCACCAUCAGGUGGCCGCAGAGAAUAGGCCCAAGCGACUGUUUACCAAAAACAUAGGUUUCUGCUAAGUCGCAAGACGAUGUAUAGGAGCUGACGCCUGCCCGGUGCUGGAAGGUUAAGGGGAUCUGUUAGAGCAAUCGAAGCAGUGAACUUAAGCCCCAGUAAACGGCGGCCGUAACUAUAACGGUCCUAAGGUAGCGAAAUUCCUUGUCGGGUAAGUUCCGACCCGCACGAAAGGCGUAACGAUUUGGGCACUGUCUCAACAACAGACUCGGUGAAAUUGUAAUUCCGGUGAAGAUGCCGGAUACCUGCGACAGGACGGAAAGACCCCAUGGAGCUUUACUGUAGCUUGACAUUGGGUCUUGGUACUACAUGUACAGGAUAGGUGGGAGGCUUUGAAACCAGGACG
rnacentral:rRNA from 1 species